UCAGCCUAGGUGGUCAGUUUCUGUUUGGGUUGUGUAUAGGAGGGCAGCUGAUGUGGUCUUCUCUGGUGAAUGAAGAAUUUCUGCAAUGUGGUCUUGCUACUGACCUGGCCAUUUUUAAAUGUGUUUGCAGUUUUCCUGUUUAUGGGUGCUGUAUCUCUGAACUUCCUUUGCUCUGGCAUCUGUUCAGCUCAUGCUCUAAGGGGUAGUGGCCGGGUAAGACGUGAUCAGAGUGGACCUGCAGCUGUCCAAAUGAAAUGAAAGGAUACUGAAGUGUUUCCCUCUCCUUGCCUCCUAUCUGUAUUCUGGACCAAAUGAUGCGGCGUCAUUCUAGAAACUGCCAGCAAUCCGCCUCUGCCUUUCUUUGCUCGGAGACCCACGCAGCCCGCAGCCGUACGUGAUGGGGAGAGCAGUCCUUCGUGGUGCUUACCCAGGAUGGUGUCACAGAAAUGCGUCUGAGUAAUGCAGAUGAGCUGCUGAACGGAUUGAACUGUAGCCCCCGAAGCGAUGCUUGAAAGUCCCUUCAGAGCCCCAUGGGUCUGCAAGUCCUCGUCCACCUGGCAGGUCAGCAGCCCCAUCCAACAGACCCUCCUCUGUACAUGGUCAUGGAGAACGUCAUCUCCUGCUGCAGGCCCACAGCAUGACCUGGAACAUAGGGUGUGUGGUAGCUACAGUGCUCGCCUGUGUGCCACCAAUUCUAGAAGCAGGUGGGAGUAACCUUGUAAGUGAUUCUGAUUAACACAGAUGGCUGUCUCUCAACUACUCCAGCCCUCUCAGCAGAUGGAAUGGGCUUGGCGCUGCAGUGUUAGGAGCUGCAGAGGACGUGUGUGCUUGGAGGAAGCACACACUGAGUCACUCACAUUUAUGGUGUUCUUCCUGUUGAAAAGAUUAAUGUGGGGAUGAAAAAUAAAGUGCAAAAAAAUUGCUUCGCUGCAGAAGUAACCGUAGCUCCUAGUAAGGAGCUAUAAAAAGCAAUACCAUGGAGAUUGAUUUAUGAGAAACAAAACCAGAAGGAAUUCAGCAGAACACAGUUAAAUGAUUACAACUGCGAGGCUGUGAGGAAGGCCAGGUGCUGUUUACAGGGCAUAGCUGAAUUCAGGGGAAUGAAAAUGAGUGUACAGAAUGCUGGCUGAACAUCCCAGAAACCAUCCCAGAAACGGUGUGAGUAGUGGGAGCUUUCUUCUGCUUCCCAAAGGGAGUGGGAGAGAGCCCCGAUGUUCUGGAUAAAUUGUCUCUGUAUUGAACAAAACAGGGCUGAAGUAUGUCUUAGAACUUCAUGGCUGUGCAGGAUUGUAGGAAGAGGCUCAAUACAGGCUGUUCUGACCUCACAUCUGGCUGUGCAAAAGCAAGUACUUGCUUCUCCGCCUCGGAGAAGGUGUGUGAAGAGCAGCAGGUUCUGAAGAGCUGCAAUUCCUUGUCCUAAAGCAUCUGUGUUUCUGCUUUAGAUGAAGUUGGAGAAUUGCAUGAACUCUUCCAGCUCUUUAGUGAAUCUUAUUUUUCUUUCCUCAUAGACUGAGCCAGUACUGGCUUGUAUAACUUGAAGUUUUUCUCAAUUCCUGGAAACUUCUGAGAGGAUUUUAGGGUUUAACUGGGACCAGAUGAUCAGGCUUUUUUCUGGUGACAGAUUAGUUUGGGGAAUUGGAAGGGAAAGCAUGUGACACGUUUUGGGAAUAAAUUCUAGGGAUUUAGAGUAUGUGCAUACACUUGUCUCUGAGAUGGCAAGCACUGUAUUCAGUUCAUCCACUGUUUAGGAAAUCCCUCAAUCCUUAAUUUCCUUGGAAGGACUUCAGCUCUGUUCCUUCCUCAAGGUAAUCAGUGCGGUCAUAUUGAUUCACUGAAUAAAAUAGGCCUUGAAUAUCAGAUAAUUUACAACCCAGACAGAAAUCAGCAGCAGUGCCAAUUAAGUCAAAGUCAGUCUGAAAGCUGUAGUAAAGUAGAAUGAGACCCAACCACUUAACAGUGAAGCAUAUAUGACUGUUGAAGUAUUUUUUUUUCUUCCUGGGAGCCAUCAUGGAGCAAUACUUGAUAGGUCAAAAACCAACAAAAUGCUGAAAGGUACAACAAUAAAAAAUUCGGAAAGGGGCUGUGCAGCCCCACUGAACACAGGCAUCUUAGUCUCAUUCAAGCACCUCUUCCAAGUUUUUUCCCCUCACCACCUGCUCUUCCACUGUAGCCUGUAUCCCAGUGCAUGUAACACCGCCUUGACGGUUUGACUUCUGAGAUUUGACUUAAAAUAAUGGUCUAGAUGAGCAACCCAGACACAUUUCCAGGUAUCUGUGAGUUCCUAAUUGAUUCCUGCACAGAAAGCACACCAUUCGCAUUCAGCGUCCGUGCAGAGACCCACAGUUAGGUAAUGCAUUUUCUGAUCUCUUACUGGUUUAGAACAUGUUGUUUUGGGGGGAACAGCGAAGCCCCUGAGAAUUACUGUACUCUGGUUGUGUGGGUACAAAACCAAACCAUGUGUUCUGUACGUGUCCUGGAGGGGCCGAUACAUGUUCUUUAGAACAAGAUUUAAAAA